UACGUAGGGUGCAAGCGUUAAUCGGAAUUACUGGGCGUAAAGCGUGCGUAGACGGUUACAUAAGUCGGGUGUGAAAGCCCCGGGCUCAACCUGGGAAUUGCAUUCGAGACUGCGUAGCUAGGGUGCGGAAGAGGGAAGCGGAAUUUCCGGUGUAGCGGUGAAAUGCGUAGAUAUCGGAAGGAACACCAGUGGCGAAAGCGGCUUCCUGGUCCAGCACCGACGUCGAGGCAC
rnacentral:rRNA from 1 species